GACGAACGCUGGCGGCGUGCCUAAUACAUGCCAGUUGAGCGAUGAAGAUUGGUGCUUGCACCAAUUUGAAGAGCAGCGAACGGGUGAGUAACGCGUGGGGAAUCUGCCUUUGAGCGGGGGACAACAUUUGGAAACGAAUGCUAAUACCGCAUAACAACUUUAAACAUAAGUUUUAAGUUUGAAAGAUGCAAUUGCAUCACUCAAAGAUGAUCCCGCGUUGUAUUAGCUAGUUGGUGAGGUAAAGGCUCACCAAGGCGAUGAUACAUAGCCGACCUGAGAGGGUGAUCGGCCACAUUGGGACUGAGACACGGCCCAAACUCCUACGGGAGGCAGCAGUAGGGAAUCGUCGGCAAUGGACGAAAGUCUGACCGAGCAACGCCGCGUGAGUGAAGAAGGUUUUCGGAUCGUAAAACUCGGUUGGUAGAGAAGAACGUUGGUGAGAGUGGAAAGCUCAUCAAGUGACGGUAACUACCCAGAAAGGGACGGCUAACUACGUG
rnacentral:rRNA from 1 species